rnacentral:lncRNA from 1 species
GACGGUGUACACCUCAGAGCAGAGCCUGGUGGGCCCCCCUGGACCCGGACCCCCCGGGACCAGCUCCCCUGGUGGGGGGCCGGACCCCGACGGACCCCCGGAACCAGGUACCAGACCCUCUGCACCGGGGCCGUACCUGCUGGACUCACCUGUCUGCCUGUCUGUCUGUCUGUCUGUCUGUCUGUCUGUCUGUCUGUCUGUCUGUCUGUCUGUCUGUCCUCCAUUUUAAAUUGACCUAAUGGCUUCAUGUUUGAGCCACGCCCAACUCGCCUGUGUGUGUGUGUGUGUGUGUGUGUGUGUGUGUGUGUGUGUGUGUGUGUGUGUGUGUGUGUGUGUGUGUGUGUGUGUGUGUGUGUGUGUGUGUGUGUGUGUGUGUGUGUGUGUGUGCGCGUCGUUUUCUCUGUGUGUGUCUCUGUUUGUGUGUAUGUGAAUCUCUGUGUGUGUGUCUCUGACCUCUGUGUGUGUGUGUGUGUGUGUGUCUGACGUGUGUGUGUUUGUGCGUGUGUGUAUAUGUGUGUCUCUGUGUGUGUCCCCAGGUGUGUGUGGUCUGGAGCCGGCCUGCGGUCUGGGCUCUGACCUGCUGUCUCUGUACCGGAGGGCGGAGCAAUGUGACAUCACCAUCAGAGUGGGCGGGCACGUCUUCCCCUGUCACAGGGCGAUCCUGUGCGCGCGCUCCCAGUACUUCCGGGCCAUGCUGAGCGGCAGCUGGAUGGAGAGCUGCACCCAGGACAUCACUCUGCAGGGGUGGGUCUGAGCAGCCUUCACCCCCUCACGGGGUCGUCUCUUUAAUGUUUCCGUGACGACACACCGACCCUCCUCCUCCAUCGGCUCUGCCGGGCGCUGCGUUCCCGUGGUAACGUGGUCCUCUCCUCCUCCCUCCAGGCUGGGCCCGGAGGAGAUGGAGGUCCUGCUGCAGUUCAUGUACGGCGCCAUCGCCGACCUCCCGCCCGGAGCCAGCGCCAGGUGGUGGACGGGGUGCAGAAGAGCAUCGUGGAGUGUCUGUCCCUCACCAGCGCUCUGGGUCUCCUCAAGCUGCACGCCACCUGCAGGAGGUGAGAGAACCACAUCCUCUCUCCUCUCUCCUCCUCUCCUCUCUCUCCUAUCUCCUAUCCUCCCCUCUCCUCUCCUCCCUAUCUCCUCUCCUCUCCUCCCCUCUUCUCUCCUCCUCUCUCCUCCCUCUCUCCUAUCACCUAUCUCCUCCCCUCUCCUCUCUCCUCCCUAUCUCCUCUCCUCCCUCUCUCUCUCUUCCUCUCCUCCUCUCCUCCCUAUCUCCUCUCCCCCUCUCUCCUCCCUCUCUCCUCUCUCCCCCUCUCUCCUCUCCUCUCUCCUCCUCUCCUCCCUAUCUCCUCUCCUCCUCUCCUCCCUCUCUCCUCUCUCCCUCCACUCCCCUCUCUCCUCUCCUCCUCUCUCCUACCUCCUCCCCUCCCCUCCCCUCUCCUCCCUAUCUCCUCUCCUAUCUCCUCUCCUCUCUCCUCUCUCCUGCUUCCUCCCCUCUGUAUUCAGACUCAUCACUCCCACUGGUAUAAACCCUUCCCUGUAA